CAGAAGUCUUCUGGUGCAGGGCAGAGAAAGACCUACUUCAUUUCAGAUUCUUCCAAAGAAGGUUCUCUUUUCAGCAAUGAGUCCAACAAACCUCAGCCCUGUCCCUCUGAAAGGAAGAGAAGAGACUGAAGAACUAUAAGAACACAGACAAGGACAACAGUCUGAUUACAUACAGAGAAAAGUUCUUUCUGACUCAAGCAGGAAGCUGGCAUUUGGCAAACGACUUUGGAGGGAGGAAGAAGGAAGAAUCUGGAAGUGAGAGAAACAAAGAAAAAGACGAAAAG
rnacentral:lncRNA from 1 species